rnacentral:rRNA from 1 species
UCGGGAAUUUUGGGCAAUGGGCGAAAGCCUGACCCAGCAACGCCGCGUGAAGGAUGAAGUAUUUCGGUAUGUAAACUUCGAAAGAAUAGGAAGAAUAAAUGACGGUACUAUUUAUAAGGUCCGGCUAACUACGUGCCAGCAGCCGCGGUAAUACGUAGGGACCAAGCGUUGUUCGGAUUUACUGGGCGUAAAGGGCGCGUAGGCGGCAAUUCAAGUCAUCUGUGAAAUCUCCGGGCUUAACUCGGAACGGUCAGAUGAUACUGCUUUGCUAGAGUGCAGAAGGGGCAAUCGGAAUUCUUGGUGUAGCGGUGAAAUGCGUAGAUAUCAAGAGGAACACCUGAGGUGAAGACGGGUUGCUGGGCUGACACUGACGCUGAGGCGCGAAAGCCAGGGGAGCAAACGGGAUUAGAUACCCUUGUAGUCCCUGAG